CUCGUGUGGCCCUUUUAGCCCAAAUCUCGCCACAUAUAUGAGAUUUACCUAGCCUAGUCCAAUAUUUACUACACAAUCAAACAACUUAUCCAAUUGGGCUUAUAGGCCCAUUGGGCCCGCAUGGCCCCUUUCGGCCUAUCGUGGCCCGAAGUAGCCAUUCUACAACUAGAGUAGUGGGAAAUACACACCUGAUAGGAGAUUGGAG
rnacentral:lncRNA from 1 species